AUGGAACCCUAUGUUGGCAUGAGGUUUGACAGCCUUCAAAUUGCUAAGGAUCACUACAACAGUUAUGCACUACGGAUGGGUUUCUCUAUCAAGAUGAACACCUCUAGACGGACACACCGCACCAAUGAAUUGAUAAAACAACAGUUUUGCUGCAACAAGUUCAAGAAGCCUGAAGCUGAUGAUGGAGGAGCUGAGGCUCCUCCUUACCUGGACCCUAUUCCAGAUCCAACAUCUGUUAACAGUGAUGAGGAGAUGGAAGAAGAACCUCCAAUAUUUGCUGAAGAGGAGGCUGGUACUAGUAAGAAGAAGAAGAAGCGCAAACGCGAGACAAUAAAGCAGACUGAAUGCAAGGCGAAAAUGUUGGUGAAGCUGAUAGAUGGGCGAUGGGAGGUGACGCACUUUGUUCGUGACCACAAUCAUCCGCUCGUGAACAAACCUUCAUUGUCCAAAUACUUGAGAUCCCACCAAGGCAUCUCACCUGAUGAAAAGGAGUUUCUGCGCAUCUUGUAUAACUGCAACUUGACUACAGGCGACUACAAUCCAAGUACCAUGAUAGGCCGUGCUACUGCAGGUGAUCGUGACGGUCCUACUGCCCCAUUGGAGGCUGCAUCCCUUGCACAAGCUUCUGAUGAUUUUGUGCCCAGGGAUCCUCCAAGGUCUACUACAAAGGGUAGGGCAAAGAGUCGACGAUACAAAUCGGCGCUGGAGCUACACCCAAAGAAGAAAAACAAAUGCAGCCAGUGCCAAUCUACAGAGCACACUGCUGGUGUGUGUCCACAGAGGCUCCUGUGA
rnacentral:rRNA from 1 species